AUCCGGUAAGUGAUAAAAGGGUUUUUAACCCUUUCAACACUGGGAGAGGAGGGGGUGGUAUGGAUACAGAGGGACACUAUAGUGUUAGAAAUACAGUUUGUAUUCCUAAUGCUAUAGUGUUCCCUUAAAUAAUGUUUUUAACUGUUUUUCCCCCCUCUACUAGUCACUUCUCAUUUGAUCUGUGAAUAAAAUCUAAACUGAGUGGUUGUUCCCUAACCAUCAAUAUUAUCAAUUUUUUAAUUAUUUUUUUUUCUUCAUGGACGGAACUUUGAAUCAGGAAACAAACUGUUUUGUUCAUUUCGUUUAUUUUGAUUUGCAGAAUGCAAACUGUUUGCUGAUUGCCCAAAAUCCAGGUGAAGUCUUAAUGUGGAGUUUGUCACUUAAGAGUUUCUUCCAUUAUCUACCAGGGUUUUACUUUAAAUGGUGGCUCAGGGGCACAUGUGUGAAGGUCAGG